GUCGCUACUACCGAUUGAAUGGCUCAGUGAGGCCUUCGGACUGGCUCAAGGAGGUCGGCAACGACCACCUAGAGCCGGAAAGUUCGUCAAACUUGGUCAUUUAGAGGAAGUAA
rnacentral:rRNA from 1 species